rnacentral:lncRNA from 1 species
UUUCUGCAAAGUUUAGAUACCCCUUGAUUCUGUAAGAUAAAUCAGGAUUACUCAAAAAGACACGUACUGAAACAUACUAUAUACAGUAUGUAAAUUGUUUAACUUGUUAAUGAUUUGUUGUUGUUAAUCUAUUGUUAUUGUUAUUAUUUAUUGUUGUAAUAUUAUUUUCAAGAUUGUGUUCGAGGCUAAGCGCGGAUCCUCCUCGUCAUGUGACUCAGCUCUUGAUAAUCUUGUCAUCAGUGAAGGAGCCUGUCCUGGUAAAGUUUUACACAUCACAUGUUUGAGAAUCCUAUCCGUUUUACACAUCACACAUUUGAGAAUCCUAUCUGUUUUACACAUCACACGUUUGAGAAUCCUAUCCGUUUUACACAUCACACAUUUGAGAAUCCUAUCCGUUUUACACAUCACACAUUUCAGAAUCCUAUCUGUUGCACUGUGUUUGGAGUGUGAGACCAACAUCAACUAUUCUUGUUACAGAAUGUGUGUUUGGCUGUGAUUUUGACACAAUUGCGGACCUCUGCAACUGGGUAGUAGAAAUCCCAGAUGACAGGAUUUUUGGGUGGGAACAAUGGAAUGGUCCUACAGACACAGAAGGAACAGGCCCUAAUGAUGACUUCUCCAAACCUGGCUGUGAGUCUUUGUUCUUCUUUCUACACAAAAUAUGAUUGGAACAUGCAGACCACACGUACAUACACUACUACAUAUCGCCAUGUUCCCUCCUUUAGCUCAUCUUGUCCUUUUUAUGCCUUUGUGAACAGUGGGGAGCUACCUGCUAAUGGAUUCCACCUCUGCUUUCCCUGGUCUCUCAAGCCAGCUUUGGAGUCCUUCAGCAUCAUCUGCAUCUACUGGUUGCCUAGAGCUAGGUUUCCACUAUUACAUGUUUGGCACUGCCACCACCAUGCAACUCAGCGUCCAUGUUGCAGCAGGUGGCGUUCUGGGACCUGCCCUCUUCACCCUCACUGGGAACCAGGGACCAGCCUGGAGGCCUGCUGUGGUCCGCUACAUUGGCACAGGAACCAUCCAGGUGAUUAG